CAAAAUCCCCCAAAUCCACCCCAAAUCUUCCCAAAAUCCACUCGGGACUCCCUGGGACACCCCAAAAUCAGCUUGGACCCCCCCCAAAGCCACAAAAAUCCACUGGGGCCCUCCAAAGUCCCCCCAGCAGCCCCCUAAAUUCCCCCAAACACUCCAAAAUCACCUCGGGAACCCCCAAAAUCCCUGGGGACCCCCAAAACCCUCCCCAAAAUCAGCCUGGAUCCCCCUGGAGCCCACAAAACCCCUGGGGCCUUCCCAAAUCCCCCCCCAGAACCCCUCAGGACCCUCCCAAAUCCCCUCAAAGCCCCCAAAUCUCUCCAAACCUCUCCCAAAUCACCUCGGGACCCCCCAAAAUCCCUCUGGGACCCCCCCAAAACCCCAGGAGAGUUCGGCUCGGUGGUGGAGGGGACUCUGCACCAGGACUCGGGGGUGCUGCGCGUGGCCGUGAAGACGAUGAAACUGGCCAUCUGCUCGCGGGGGGAGCUCGAGGAUUUCCUGAGCGAGGCCGCCUGCAUGAAGGAGUUUGACCACCCCAACGUCAUGAAGUUGAUCGGUGAGAAACCCCCAAAAUUGCCCCAAAAACACCCUAAAAAUACCCCAAAAUAUCCCAAAAUCAUCACCAAAAUCGCCCCCAAAUCAUCCUAAACUGAACCCCAAAUCGCCCCCAAAUUGCUCCAAAUCUGCUCUGGGGUGCCCCGAAACUCCCCUGAAACUCCAGGGACCCCAAAUCCAAAACAAAACCCCCCAAAAGGAGCUCGACCUUGAUCGGCGAGAGACCCCCCAAAAAACCCCCAAAGUCACCCCAAAAAUGCCCCAAAAAUCCUCCCCUGAAUCCCCCCAGGAGCCCCCAGUUUUGGGGGAGUUCAGGGGGAUCUGAGCCCCAAUUUCGGGGGUCCUGAACCCUAAAUUUGGGGGGUUCUGGGCCCCAUUUUUGGGGGGUUCUGAGCCCCAUUUUUGGGGGUCCUGAGCCCCAUUUUUGGGGGGUUCUGAGCCCCAUUUUUGGGGGUUCUGAGCCCCAUUUUUUGGGAUUUCCUAUCCCCAAUUCUGUCAGGGUUCACACCCAAAUUUGGGGGGGUCCGGGGUUUGACUUCGCCCCUCCCCCCCCCAGGGG
rnacentral:lncRNA from 1 species